ensembl:snRNA U5 U5 spliceosomal RNA
CUACACUAGUUUCUCUUCAAAUCACAUGAAUUUUUUGCCUUUUACUAAAGAUUUCUGUGGAGAAAAGCAACUGUGAGUUUUAAGCUAAUUUUUUCUGACACCUUGCAUUUCUUAGCGCGGC